CCAUCUGGAAGAAUCUGGAGACAGGUGGCUGCAUGGCUGUCGUCAGCUCGUGUCGUGAGAUGUUGGGUUAAGUCCCGCAACGAGCGCAACCCUUGCCUUUAGUUGCCAGCAGUUCGGCUGGGCACUCUAAAGGGACUGCCGGUGUUAAACCGGAGGAAGGUGGGGAUGACGUCAAGUCCUCAUGGCCUUUAUGACCAGGGCUACACACGUACUACAAUGGCCGAUACAAAGGGCAGCGACACUGCGAGGUGAAGCCAAUCCCGUAAAAUCGGUCUCAGUCCGGAUUGGAGUCUGCAACUCGACUCCAUGAAGUUGGAAUCGCUAGUAAUCGUGGAUCAGCAUGCCACGGCGAAUACGUUCCCGGGCCUU
rnacentral:rRNA from 1 species